CGAGCUGUGUAAUCGUUUUGUU
rnacentral:miRNA from 1 species